CCCUCCUUUUUGGAAAGCUCUUUGCUAGAGCUCUUUUUUUGUAGCUAUCGCCUUUUCACUCAUGUCUCCACCCAAAUGUCACUUUCUCACAGGCCUCAUCUGAUCCCCUGUCAAAAGUGUCCCUCCCUUCAGUCAUCAUGGCCAGCCCCUUUCCUUCUGAUGGGGUCCCUGUGAGUGCAGGGAAGCUGGCUGUGUGAUUCACUGCUGCACCGCACACAGUGCCCAGCACAGCAGUGCCUGGCCCACAGCAGGGGCUCAGGAAUGUUUGGUGAGAGGUGGGAGCAGGCGAUGUUGAGGGAAGUUGAGGGCAAGGCCUAGGAAGGCGUGUGUUUGGGUCAGGUGCAACCCAUUCCUGGGAACAGCGGCAGGCCUGAAGACGGGCAGCUGGACUGGCCACAGGCGCAUCCCACCUCCAAGGAGGGAGCCCACAGAGCCCCCACCCAGCCCCUGGCCCCCAGAUGGAAGGCCCCUGCCAGACCAGGGCUGGCACAGAGGAAGGAAUUGCCCCCAGUAGCCUUGAAGCAGGAGCAGAGUCACAACAAGGGGCCCAGCACUGAGCGGGCCCAGCCCCAGGCCACGGAGGCAGCAGGGGCUGAGGCGGCAAAGCCCCAGGCCACCAAGCUCAGGCCCUUGCAGGCCAGCAGGGCCCCCCAAGCCCAAGAGGGGUCAGUGGCUGCCAAAGAGGGCCAGGGCAGGAAGGCAGGAGGCCAGGAAGCCAGGAGCAGGGGCCUGAAG